rnacentral:tRNA from 1 species
GCCCGGGUGGCUCAGUCGGUUAAGCGUCUGACUUUGGCUCAGGUCAUGACCUCACAGUUUGUGAGUUCGAGCCCCGCGUCGGGCU